GACAGAGGCCUCGAGCGUUAGGCGGAAUCACUGGGCUUAAAGCGUGUGUAGGCGGAUCGUUAAGUGUCUUGUGAAAUCCCACGGCUCAACCGUGGAACGGCUGGGCAUACUGGCGAUCUUGAGCAGCCUAGGGGCGACCGGAACAAACGGUGGAGCGGUGAAAUGCGUAGAUAUAGGAAGGAACACCAGUGGCGAAGGCGACCACCUGGACUGAUACUGACACUGAGGUGCGAAAGCGUGGGGAGCAAACAGG
rnacentral:rRNA from 1 species